GACGAGCGCUGGCGGCAUGCCUAACACAUGCAAGUCUAGGGGUAGCAAUACCACUGGCGCACGGGUGAGUAACACGUAGGUUAUCUGCCCCCAUCACAGACAUAACCCCGGGAAACCGGGGCUAAUAUCUGAUGAGGUCGCGAGAUCAAAGCUUCGGCGGAUGGGGAUGAGCCUGCGGCUGAUUAGCUAGUUGGUGAGGUAAUGGCUCACCAAGGCGACGAUCAGUAGCUGGUCUGAGAGGACGAACAGCCACACUGGAACUGAGACACGGUCCAGACUCCUACGGGAGGCAGCAGUGAGGAAUAUUGGUCAAUGGGAGCAAUCCUGAACCAGCAAUGCCGCGUGUGGGAUGACAGGGCUUCGCCUUGUAAACCACUGUCGGACGGGACGAAAGGAGGCCUCGGGCCUCUGGGACGGUACCGUCAAAGGAAGGGUCGGCUAACUACGUGCCAGCAGCCGCGGUAAU
rnacentral:rRNA from 1 species